rnacentral:lncRNA from 1 species
UAUUUCUGUUGCAGGAAUUGCUUACCUAGGAGGUGUCUGCAGUGCCAAGAGAAAAUGUGUUCUUGCUGAAGAUAAUGGUCUCAAUCUGGCAUUUACAAUUGCACAUGAACUUGGGCACAACUAUUUCAAGUGGUGCAUAUGAGAUGUCUAAAAAAAAGAAAGUUAGCAGAGCAUGACUUUGGCUGGAGGAUUUGGACAAGUGAGUUCUCUCCUGUGCAGAGAAUCUUUGGCUUCAGCAGAGUUAUAGAUGCUGUUGCGGGAGGAGAUUGAAAGUUUAAAGGUUGCAGGUGAAGGGGGGAUAAGUGGCUGAAGUGAUUGCAUUUUGUAAACAGAACUGCAUCAUGGGACACUUUACUGAGAGAAAAGGUCCUUCUGCCUACUCUUCCCUUUCAAUUAAGCCCCAUCCAUGUGCAUGCAUAAUCAAAUCCCAGUACGUUAAAGGAAAAAAAAAAAAGGCCGUCUCUCUCUCUCAUCACUCUCUGAGCAUGAAAAUCACCCCCUAUAUAAUGUCAUCUACUAUUGGCCUGGCUAGUUAUUUCAGAUGGGUCAAUUUAUUGGUGCUUUUCCCUUGAAGUCAGCAGAAAUCUUUUCAUUGAUCUUACUAGAUUUCAGGCCCCUCCUUAUUCUCUUGGUUUUGAACUGUAACAGGGUGCUCUGAACAGUCCUGUUUCAGCAUGUCUUAUGCAAAUAUUAAGAUCAUUUGCUGACCUUACCUACAAAGUGGUAGAAACAUUUAAAGUGAUUGUGAGAUGUGAGGAAACUCAUUGCAGAGAUAGAGAAGCUGAGAUCAGAUUCAAUUUUAAAAAGAAAACUCAAGGAAAAGUAGAUGUAAUUUUCUUAAAUUUU